AAUUUCUAAUAUCAAAAUAUAAUUAAAUAUAUCUAAGCUAUGAAGUCUAAUAAUUUAAAUAUAUUCUGAUUUAAAUUUUAAACCACUAUUAGAGAUUUGAAGCAUGUGGUGUAUGUAAUUAUAUACAUUCAGUAUAAAGAAUGCUUAAUUAUGAACCGGGCUCUUUGAAAAGCUCUUUUUCAUAGUAAAAAAAAAAAGAGGAGAAAUUUUUGCUUGCACCUGAUAUAUACUAAUAUUUCAUACAUUGUAAGUAUAUUAGAUGAUUCAUAAAAUACCUAAUAGUUAGUAUUAUAAAAUAAAAUAUAAAAUAUAGUAUAAUAUAUAUUAUAAAAUAUAAAAUAUUUAGUAAUUUAUUAUAUUAUAGAAAUAUAUUUUUUAUUCACAUUUUAUAUCCGGUCUACGGUGCAAUUGGUGCGUCGAAAAUUUCUAUUGAAUAUGUGGCAUGUUUGUAUUAGCUAAAAGCUACAAUGGAGAGGUGGAAAAAGAAUUCAUACGAUGUGGAGGUGGGAAAAUGUGCCACGUAUACAGAGAAAACCGUCAAAUUAUGUAUUGGUAUGGAUUUUAAACCACUAUUAGAGAUUUGAAGCAUGUGGUGUAUGUAAUUAUAUACAUUCAGUACAGAGAAUGCUUAAUUAUGAAUUGAGCUCUUUGAAAAGCUCUUUUUUAUAGUUCUAAAAAAAAGUGGAGAAAUUUUUUCUUGCACCUGAUAUAUACUAAUAUUUCAUACAUCGUAAGUAUAUUAAAUGAUUCAUAAAAUACCUAAGAGUUAGUAUUAUAAAAUAAAAUAUAAAAUAUAGUAUAAUAUAUAUUAUAAAAUAUAAAAUAUUUAGUAAUUUAUUAUAUUAUAGAAAUUUAUUUUUUAUUCACAUUUUAUAUCCGGUCUACGGCGCAAUUGAUGCGUCGAAAAUUUCUAUUGAAUACGUGGCAUAUUUUUAUUGGCUAAAUGCUACAAUGGAGAGGUGGAAAAAGGAUAUGCGGAGAUGGGAAAAGGCGCCACAUAUACAGAGAAAACCGUCAAAUUAUGUAUUGGUAUGGAUUUGGAAUAUAUAGAUGUUUUGAGGAGAAAUGUCACGUCCAUAUGGAAUAUGGACCCCCGAGUUUUUUAUUUUGACAGCUAAAC
rnacentral:lncRNA from 1 species